rnacentral:lncRNA from 1 species
GUGAAUAUGUUAAAAUAUUCACCACUGAAAAAAUAAAAGACGAUGAGAUUUUGUUACUCAGUAAAGGAUUAAAAUAUCUACCGUCUCCCUCGACGAAAUUUGCAAAAUCUAGUAUUGCAUCAGAUUUCAAUGAAUUUGCAAGAAAACUAAGAUGUAAAUAUCAUUUUGACAAGGGUGAUAUUUUCAAACGUCAUCCCUUUUUAACAAAAUCCGGAUA